rnacentral:misc_RNA from 1 species
AAACUGACCAUUACCGUACCUGAGGUUUAAUGUUAAUAACUCUGCCAUCAUUAAGUGUAAUAAUGUGACAUCAAUUGCACGUGCCAAAGGAAUUGCUUCGUUACGCUACACUAUGUUAUGACAUCACUGUUCUCUCAAAACCUUGUCCGACCGGUGAAGCUUGCGUAACUUCACCACAUUUACCUUGCCGAAUUUUUGUAUUGUCAAUCACUCGAACUUUGGCAUAUUCCACAAUAUUAAUUAAGAUUUGACAGACGCUAACAGACGUGGUUCUAGACGACUUAACAGGAUAAUUGCUUAUGAUCGAUGGAAAUCAUUCUAACCUCAACACAAGCGCUUUUCGAGACCGUUGGAACUUGGAACACACGAUUGUGAUGAAUACAAGCAUGUAUCUAUCCAUCCACGGGCCCCGCACUGUACAACUUCCUUUAUAACCUAAAUAAUAUAUCUUAAACAAAAUGAAAGACUAAUAAACAAAAAUAUCUCGAUCUUUCUGACAAAUAAAGCAAAUAAAAGAUAAUUCCAAAUGAAAUUAUUCCAACAUAACAAGAAUUUUUAUGAAAAAUAUCCUACUUGUUUCUGUUUGAUGCAUCACUGAAAUUCAGUAACUAGAAUCACGCAAAUUAUUCCGCAAGGUGGUGGCACCUGUCGGAGUCGCAAUCGCAAGGUAGCAUGUCCACAGGUGUAUGAACAAAU